CCUACGGUGGGCAGCAGUGGGGAAUAUUGCACAAUUGGGGGAACCCUGAUGCAGCGACGCCGCGUGAGUGAAGCAGUAUUUCGGUACGUAAAGCUCUAUCAGCAGGGAAGAACAAAGGACGGUACCUGAGUAAGAAGCCCCGGCUAACUACGUGCCAGCAGCCGCGGUAAUACGUAGGGGGCAAGCGUUCUCCGGAUUUACUGGGUGUAAAGGGAGCGUAGACGGCGCUGCAAGUCCGGAGUGAAAGCCCAUGGCUUAACCAUUGUACUGCUCUGGAAACUGUGGAGCUUGAGUGCGGUAGGGGCAGGCGGAAUUCCGAGUGUAGCGGUGAAAUGCGUAGAUAGUAGGAGGAACACCGGCGGCGAAGGCGGCCUGCUGGACCGUAACUGACGUUGAGGCUCGAAAGCGUGGGGAGCAAACAGGAUUAGAUACCCGGGUAGUC
rnacentral:rRNA from 1 species